GCAUCAUCUUAUCUUAGCUCAUGGUAUCUUAUUACCCUACCAGAGCACUGCGCUCCCUGAAUGCAGGGUUACUUGUGGUUCCUAGAGUCUCCAAAAGUAGAAUGGGAGCCAGAGCGUUCAGCUAUCAAGCUCCUCUCCUGUGGAACCAGGUUCCAGUUUGGGUUCAGGAGGCAGACACCAUCUCCACAUUUAAUAUUUUGUGCUUUCUUGUCCCUCUCCUCUCUCCUUCUGUCGUUAUCUGCAGGCGUUUCUGGCUCCGGAGCUGUGGAGUCUCGUUCUGUGGUUGCAAGUUGCCUGCUGCCUCCUGGUUCCUGCUCAACACCCGCUGCUACAAUUAUUAUUACUAUUAGCCCUAUUAAUUCAAUCAGGAUUAAUUUUAUUGUUGAACAAUUACAAUGCUCUCAGUUAAUCAAGGAUGAAAAAAUAUCAUAUUUUUCUUUAUUGCAUCUCCAUUUAGUCUGUAAUGGUAAAAUAAAUAUGUUAAUUUACAGUGGAUUUAUAUUCUUUAGCUUCUGACCUCUACCAGUUAUGUAUCUAGGCCAAAUGGUUGAGGAGAUUAAUUUUAGGUAUGUUAUUUCAGGUGUUUUUUCCUGGAAAAAGGUAGCAGUUUCCAACAGGAGUGUAACAACACAAAAUGAUAAUUAAAUAAAAACUUUGGCCUUCAAAAAAUAUUUGAAAAAAAAAAGUGCCAUGAGCCAUUGAAUCAACUUUCGCUGAAGCAGCAACCUCAGUUUAAUCCACAUGGCUGCUCUUUUUUGCUUUUGCAAAAUCAACAAAAUGUCAACAGGCAGAACUUAAUUGAUUCUACCGAUGCGUUUGAUGACAAAACCAAUGUUGGAUCGAGCAUUUAGGAUUUCCUAACCUGAGAUAAGAAUGGAUGAAGUAAGAUAAGAUAGGAUUCCUAAAGUUAGCAAGCACUUGGACACGGAGGAAAGGACAAAUUCACAAAUUCAAGACUCAGGGUGGGCAAGUUCCACAUAGACAUGUAAAGUACACUGCAUGUACAAUUAUUUGGCAAGUAAGUAUUCUGAAUGAAUAAUUAUUUCUAUGCACAUUUUCCGACUCCAAACCAAAUAAAUUUGAAUGCUCUUUGGAGUUAA